rnacentral:rRNA from 1 species
UACGUAGGGCGCAAGCGUUGUCCGGAAUUAUUGGGCGUAAAGAGCUCGUAGGCGGCCUGUUGCGUCCGCUGUGAAAUCCCGGGGCUCAACCCCGGGCCUGCAGUGGAUACGGGCUGGCUAGAGGCAGGCAGGGGAGAACGGAAUUCCUGGUGUAGCAGUGAAAUGCGCAGAUAUCAGGAGGAACACCGGUGGCGAAGGCGGUUCUCUGGGCCUGUACUGACGCUGAGGAGCGAAAGCGUGGGGAGCGAACAGG